CAGUAGCCGCGGGAAUACGUAGGGUCCGAGCGUUGUCCGGAAUUAUUGGGCGUAAAGGGCUCGUAGGCGGUUUGUUGCGUCGGGAGUGAAAACCCAGGGCUUAACUUUGGGCUUGCUUUCGAUACGGGCAGACUUGAGGCAUUGAGGGGAGAACGGAAUUCCUGGUGUAGCGGUGAAAUGCGCAGAUAUCAGGAGGAACACCGGUGGCGUAGGCGGUUCUCUGGCAAUGUUCUGACGCUGAGGAGCGAAAGUGUGGGGAGCGAACAGGAUUAGAUACCCCUGUAGUCCCUGUCUCUUAUAC
rnacentral:rRNA from 1 species